rnacentral:rRNA from 1 species
AUUGAACGCUGGCGGCAGGCCUAACACAUGCAAGUCGAGCGGAUGAAGGGAGCUUGCUCCUGGAUUCAGCGGCGGACGGGUGAGUAAUGCCUAGGAAUCUGCCUGGUAGUGGGGGAUAACGUCCGGAAACGGGCGCUACUACCGCAUACGUCCUGCGGGAGCAAGUGGGGGAUCUUCGGACCUCACGCUAUCAGAUGAGCCUAGGUCGGAUUAGUUAGUUGGUGGGGUAAAGGCCUACCAAGGCGACGAUCCGUAACUGGUCUGAGUGGAUGAUCAGUCACACUGGAACGGGGACAGGGUCCAGAGUCCUACGGGAGGCAGCAGUGUGGAAUGUUGGACAGUGGGCGAAAACCUGAUCCAGCCAGGCCGCGUGUGUGAAGAAGGUCUUCGGAUUGUAAAGCACUUUAAGUUGGGAGGAAGGGCAGUAAGUUAAUACCUUGCUGUUUUGACGUUACCAACAGAAUAAGCACCGGCUAACUUCGUG